UAUUGCCAAAUACCCCUUAGGCCCGGGUAUAAGGGGAUUUAAGUUGUGAGUGGACUACACACUUGAGGAAAACAACAUAAGUACAAGGAGAACGUGGAUACUGAACUACAGAGUUCCCAGGAUGCCCAGUGGUAACCAGCCUACCAUGUGGCUCAACAGAUGCCAGUGUACCUGAAUUCUGAGACACAAUUGGAUGUUCUUUUCUUCUGCUUUUAAGAUUCCCAGUUUGGGAUGAUGUGUAGUUCAUGUUAGAUUUUCUGUUUCUAGAGUGAAGUAGAAGAGUCCAUUAUUGUUAUGGGGCAGCAGUUAAAGAAGAAGGACGGAGAGAUGUGUGCCAUGUUGAAGUAGUGGCUGCCCCUCCUGACCGACACUUCUAGAAUCCUCCAUCUCAAUCCCUGCUCUGAUCUG